rnacentral:rRNA from 1 species
GAUUAACGCUAGCGGUGUGUCUUAUACAUGCAAGUCGAGCGCCCCCUUGUGGGGAGCGGCGGACGAGUGAGUAACGCGUGAGAAUCUGCCCUCAGGAGGGGGACAACAGCUGGAAACGGCUGCUAAUACCCCAUAUGCCGCGAGGUGAAAUGAAUUUCGCCUGAGGAUGAGCUCGCGUCUGAUUAGCUAGUUGGUGUAGGUAAUGGCUCACCAAGGCAUCGAUCAGUAGCUGGUCUGAGAGGAUGAUCAGCCACACUGGGACUGAGACACGGCCCAGACUCCUACGGGAGGCUGCAGCAGGGAAUAUUGCGCAAUGAGCGAAAGCUUGACGCAGCGACACCGCGUGUGGGAUGACGGUUCUAGGAUUGUAAACCACUUUCAGGAGGGAAGAAAAUGACGGUACCUCCACAAGAAGACCCGGCCAACUACGUG